rnacentral:ncRNA from 2 species
AGGGCCCGCGAGCCCGGCAUGAUCCAAACGAGAGGCCCUAGGGGUGAAGCCACGUCACGGUGCCGGGGGCACCGAGCAAGGCGCGGCCGGGCAACUCCCGCCCGAACCCGACAGCUCACCUCGCAGGCGUCAGGAGAGGAUGA